AUUGAACGCUAGCGGGAUGCCUUACACAUGCAAUUCGAACGGAGUGGCUAACGGUGGAGUAAUGUAUCGGAACGGUCCCAGUAUCUGGUUAUAAGGACGCGAAAGCGUAGCUAAUACCACAUACUAUUGGAGCGGCCGAUAUCGGAUUAGCUAGUUGGUGGGGUAACGGCUAACCAAGGCGACGAUCCGUAGCUGGUUUGAGAGGACGACCAGCCACACUGGGACUGAGACACGGCCCAGACUCCUACGGGAGGCAGCAGUGGGGAAUUUUGCACAAUGGGGGAAACCCUGAUCCAGCCAUCCCGCGUGUGUGAUGAAGGCCUUCGGGUUGUAAAGCACUUUUGGCAGGAAAGCGGUACCUGCAGAAUAAGCACCGGCUAACUCCGUGCCAGCCGCCGCGGUAAUUC
rnacentral:rRNA from 1 species